GCCAGCGCAGAACAAGGGGAGACACAGUUUAGCGCCAGUAAAGGUCAAAAAAGCAUCAUGAACACCGCCAUCUUGGUCAUCAUCGCCAUCGGCAUCACAUGUUCCUUUGCAAGUAACACAAGAGAUGUUCGAUCAGCAUCAACCUCAACCUCAACCUCAACCUCGACCUCGACCUCAACAUCUUCAGAAG